rnacentral:rRNA from 1 species
UACAGAGGGUGCAAGCGUUGCUCGGAUUUACUGGGCGUAAAGCGUACGCAGACGGUUCAGCAAGUUGAGAGUGAAAGCCCCGGGCUCAACCCGGGAACUGCUUUCAAUACUACUGGUCUAGAGUUUGGGAGAGGGAAGCGGAAUUCCUGGUGUAGAGGUGAAAUUCGUAGAUAUCAGGAGGAACACCAGCGGCGAAGGCGGCUUCCUGGCCCAAUACUGACGUUCAGGUACGAAAGCGUGGGUAGCAAACAGG